rnacentral:rRNA from 1 species
UACAGAGGUCUCAAGCGUUGUUCGGAUUCAUUGGGCGUAAAGGGUGCGUAGGUGGCGCGGUAAGUCGGGUGUGAAAUCUCGGAGCUUAACUCCGAAAUUGCAUUCGAUACUGCCGUGCUCGAGGACUGGAGAGGAGACUGGAAUUCAUGGUGUAGCAGUGAAAUGCGUAGAGAUCAUGAGGAAGACCAGUGGCGAAGGCGGGUCUCUGGACAGUUCCUGACACUGAGGCACG